GAAGCCCUGCAUCAUCUCGAACUCGUCGGUGCGAUAGCGUGCAGCGUGACAUGCUGUUCAUCACCAACGAGUUCCAGACGAUGCAGGCCUUC
rnacentral:pre_miRNA from 1 species